CUCGGUACUGAAACCAUUGAGUACCGCGAAAGACCGCCGCACGUCGCUUCGGCUAUCUUCGCUAAUAGUCGGCUAACUUCGGGCACGCUCGCACUUCCGUCCUCGUCGCGUCGCUUCUCGCACGCUAUCCGCUGUUGCUUUCUAACUAUUUCCUACGAUCAAGUUUCUCUUCUCUUCUUCCUCUCGUUUUCUUCGCCACGCACGCCGCGAGGAAAUCAUAGUGAUUUAGUGGCGCGGCUAAUGAGUCACCGUAAUCGUCGCGAUGUCGAUAUUUUGUGCGCGGGUGUGGGAUAUUCGAAGGAUCAACGAGGAACGCGGCAAACAAACGGCAGCUUCGAACGGCGUCGAGGGAUGUUGUUCCUCCCAUUUUAAUAAAGGCCGCAAUAUAGCCGUGAAGGAACAUCUCGCGUUCUAGCUGAAUCACUUUCAACCCGGACCGUUUUUAUUAGACGAACGAACACUGGACUGGAGUACGAAGGAUAUUCGACCAAGAGAUGCUUGAGUGCGGGUAGUGGGGGGAUCUAUAUGCAUGGGGCCUUCACCUCUACAUCGUCAGUUUCCACGCGACCGUCGCGGAGAGUGGUAGGAGACCUGUGAAGCCUAUGGAGGGAGAAACCAUAACAUCGCCAUCUUCCCUGGAUUCGUCGCGGGUCGCAAGGGAUUGCUAUUUUUCCUGGGAUGCCUGAUUUAAUCGUGAGUGUACUACUCGCCAGUGUCUGACCAUACAGAGCGUCUACUACUGCGACGCUGCGCCCCAUAACGGUACACAUUCAAGAAGUAGAUAAAAAAAUUCGCCGUUUUAAUUUCCAAUAAAUCGUCGAGAAAAGUGUAGCUCGGUGAACAAAUUCGCCGGUCCGCCUGGUACGGGAGAAUAAAGGAGAGAAAAGGCAGAAAGAAGCGAAGCAAAGGGAAGGAAAUUAUAGAAAUUCGCGAAUAGAAGUUCGGAGGCGCUUUGUCAUCCGGGAUAUAAGAAGCGGCCCGCAUUAUUUUCCAAAGCGUGCCGAAAAAGUAGUCGAAGGAAGAAAUGACCGAGCCUUGGGACAAGGGGAAAGAAAGAUACAAAGGAAGAGAAAUGGAAAAAGAAAGAGGGAAGAUUGGCCCCAAACCUCCCCUUCGCUGCCUCGCCCGCCAGCGUUCGGCAUUAAGGUUCGUGUAUAGCUGCAGCUAGCAGCUAGUCGUGGCCACGAUUGUCUUAAAUUUAAAUAAUCGCGGGAAAAUGUUAAUGCCCCGCGCGCCGUAAUUCAAUGAUAAAACAAAAGAAGGAAACGCGGAGCUACCCGGUUGGAUUAUUCGUUGAAAUAGGCGGGGUGGAAAGAGACAUUUGAGGAACCAGUUAGAAAGAACGAGGAGAACUAGCCGAGUGGAAAGAGGCAAAUAGAAUUAACGGGAAAAUGAAAGAAAAUUAAGAGAAGCCUAAGGAGGCGUGGUUACAAGGUUUCACAUAGUCGUCAGUUAAUUUCGGCUUCGGUCAGACCACCCUGAUUGCUUCGAAGAUUGUUUAGUCUAACGGUGUUCGGUACACAAGCUUACAUAAAUAGACACUUCCAUAAAGUGAUUAUUAAUUAGAAUGGGAUUACAACUAAUUACGAAGAGUAAAUUGAAUGAUUUCAAUCUUCCACUCCGUGGGAUAUCGUCUGGAAAAAGUGAUAUACGAGGAGAAUCCAGUAUGCUCUGCGCGGAUUAAACGAGCUGGAUCGGUCGGCGUCGUCAAUGGACUUCGUUUCGAGGGUCCUUUCAUUAUCCCAGGAACACGGGACUGGCCUCCGUCGAAGUUGUUCGCGCUGGCAAAGGGAAGAGGAUAGAGGGGCGUGUAAGAGCGUGCGAGGAAAGAAACGAACGCCGAGGGAUGAAAAGGGGAAGGUGAGCAUUAGAAGAAACAAAAGGGGUAUUUUCGUGGUGGUGAAAUAGAGAGGAGCAGACUUUUCUCCUCUCGCGUACGUAUAACCACCUGAGCCACCUUUAUGCGCACGCGGUCUCCAAGGAUUAAUGUUGCACGGCACGUUGCCAAAAAUGGACCGGCUGACCCGUGGGAUAGCUGCCAUUUUAACUCUUUCGAUGCUGUUACAAAAAUCCAUCAACAAGAGAGGGAACCGGUGGAUGAGACGUUCCCAGGCGAAGAAAAGGUCGUUCCAGACGGAGAGGGAAGAGCCGUGUCGUGAGGUGAAAGAAUAGAAACUAAAAUAGUCUUCUCAACGGCAAACGGAGAAAAACUCAUUCCGCCUGCUCGCCCGCAGCCCGGAGCUUGCUCCAUUGUGAGACGACCAAGUAUUGUGUAGUUCGUAGUAACCGUGGGCCACUGUCCUUCUCCCUGGUCCGUCCUUCUCCCUCGCCAACCUUUCCUUCCUUUCUUUUAACGUACUUGUUUCUUCCCUACGUCGUUCUUUCCUAGAAUUUCCCUGACUUUCCACGUCACGGAUGUUUCGUUCUCAUCAUCGCCGUGACAGUUUUCAGAAAUCGUUGACGGCUAAGGUGAAAUAACUCGGUGACGCGAUUGAAAGAACUUAUCAUUCAGGAACGUAGAAAAUGAAAAAUAGAAAAAAUAGUUUCGAUGCAAAUUAUAGUUUGCAUUUAAAUUUCAAGCUUAAUUUCUUUAAUGUAUUUUCAUUUCUUUUUUUUUUUUUUUUUUUCUUUCUCGAGAAAUAGUUUCGGGAAAUUGUUCGACGAUUCAGUCGACUGACAAGGUAGUGGAUGCCGAACAUUAAAAUCGGUGGGAAGAAAACGCGGUAUAGCGAGAACGGUGUUCAAAGGAGAGUUCAGGCUUGGUGGAAGAAAGGAGUUUCGAGCGUAGCCGCAAUAUUUGGGAUAUGAGUUCGGUUUCUUUUUUAGUUUCUGUUCUGCACCGGGAUUUUUACCUCUUUUCGUAUCGCCGUGCGGCUCAAUGCACCCCGCGACGCUCCAGUUCUGCGUUAUUAAAUCGAAUUUCCGUGGAAAAGUCAAAAGAUGGAGGAAGAAAGCGUCGCGUCGUGCAAGCUUGCGCUAAGUUUUUCGUAACGAGAUAUUUCAUUCCUCGAAAAUUUCUUUUUCAAAAGUUUGUGGCUGGUUUUAAUCCGAGACCAGUAAAUGCAAUGUUUAAUAGACCUUGCAAAAAUAGAAAAAUAGAAAUAUUGAAAAAUUGACUAUACAAAACAUUUAAGUAAUAACUUCUUUUUUUUAUUUUAUUACACCUAGUAUCAAAAAAUAUUUUUGGCAUAUUCAUUUUCAAAUUCAACAGUUUCAAGAAAAGUGUCGGAGAUGAUUUUCAACGAAAAGUCGAAAUUCUCCGAAUACCGUUUUCUCAUUUCCUCAUCUACUUCUUGCAGUUACUCAUUCUCUGCUUGGCCACCGUCGCAACACCCUCGAUCGUCCUGAAACGCUCUUAGCUCGAAGCAGGGAGGAAGUUUUUUUUAGAAUCCCGCCGGGAAAUUAAAAGUACUCCGGGUCGAUGACAGUCCUCCUUUCGUUAAUGUAAGGUCUAGCUUUAUUGGAAUAUUUCAUUAACAAUGAAACUUUUACAAGAUCGAAGCGAGUUGCUCGAGGAAACGAAGCUCGGCUAUUGGUUCAUAGUUCAUCGAUAGCCGCCGGGUAAAUAGAGGCGGAUAAUUGGUAUCGAUUAAUUAUUUACACCCAACGAUUUCUACCUGGGACCCAGACCAUUAUUAAUUAAUUGGUUAAUUGGUGGUCAUGGUAAUGUUCCCUAUCAAUUUUUCAGCUACUAUUAAUUUGAAUAGAAAAACAAAUAUUUAGCAUCCUUGCUGCUCUACUUUAGUUUAAUAAAAAUAUUUCUUUCACUAUUUUACUAUUUUUCCAUUUUUCUAUUUUUCUACCCCUCUUGCAACGAUAAUAAUUGGAACACCCAUAUUUUCUAAGCUAAUUUUUUAUUAUAAUUUAUUAUAUUUUACUCUCGUAUAAUGGAUGAAAAUUCAAUGUAACGAAAACGCUAUUUUCAACUAAUAUUAUUCGUGUAAAUUGCAGUUUUCAUAGUAAAAUACACGUUGCACCGACAGAAUCCGUAUAAUUUGAAUUCAUAAGCUUCAGACCUCGAUACUACAUCCAUAAAUGUUUUAAAACCCUGUUUUGUCAUUGGGAUUAGCACAUAAAUGAGCUUCAUGAUUGUACAAUGCCUGGUCUAAUAGCAUAAGAGCCUCCCCGUCAUUAAUGGGGUGCCACCGCGUCUCCCAUCGCAAGCGCCAUGUCGAACUAUGCAUCACAUCCGACCUACAAUCCAUAACAUCUCAAAUUUCAUAAAUGAAAUGUAUAUCAUUUGAAUAAAUUACACGUGUCACUCUUUGGUUAAUAUCAUCAGUUAAAUAAACCUUAAUAAAUAUAAGCUUAAUUAUAAUUAAGCCUUUCGACCACUUUUUAAAGCAGAAUAACAUUUUUUAAAUUGGGACAGACACUUUUUUUUUAAUGAAAAAUUAUUUUGCAUAGUAUAUUAGCUGAAGUCGUCAUUAAUAUAUCUGACAAAUUUUCCCGCAAAAAUAAAUGUUUAUGCAAAAACAAGAUUAUCGUGUUAACAUCUACGUAGAGAGAAUGUCGAGGCGCAGGAACGAGAUCAGAUCGAACGAUCGAAAUUUCGUUCGACGCUUCGAUACAUAAGCGUAAUAUAUUUCAGCUGCUCUAUAGGCAGGAUUCCGAAAAUUGUGGACAUUCGUUUCAGCGGCGCGACGUAUCUGCUUAAUCGCUAGUUUUAAAGAUUUAUCGAUGGAACGGCCGAUCCGUUUCGCUAUCCGAAAUCAUUUUUCGAUUGAUUAUCGCUGUCUGCCUUUUUCCCCGAUCUUUCUCUCUCGGCUCGAACGUCGACGAAAAAUGUUUCGUGACCGUUCGUCGCCUGACCAACCUGAUAUCUACCAUCUCGUUAUAGAAAAAAAAAAAACCGUGGAAUUUUCAACG